rnacentral:rRNA from 1 species
AUGGCGGUUGCAGCGAUCGCCCUCACUCUCCUCCUCGUCUCCGUGGCGCCGGCCGCCGUCACCUGUAGCGAGGAGCUUGCUGCAGUGCUCCGGUGCCACCCGGCGCCGGCGCUCACGGACGCAUUCCGCGCCACCGUCCUGCCCCUCCUCGCCGCCCUCCCCUCCGCAGCCGCGCCGACAGGCUUCGCCUCCCUGCACUCCGACGGCGCGUUCGCCCGGGGGGUCUGCUUCGGCGACUCCACCACGCUGCCUUCAGGCUUCGAGUGCGCCCGGUGCCUGUCCGACGCCGCCAGGAACCUCACCGCCGGAUGCGGUGCCGCCAGCCACCGAGCCGGCAUCUUGAGCCAGCGCUGCUCGCUCUGGUACGCCGACACAAACUUCUCUUCGCCCGGCGAGGACGCCUUCCUAGCGCGCUUCCGCCUCGCGCUCCCUGCUUCUUCUGACUCUGAGACCAGCACCGGGCGCUCGGCCGGAAGGCUCUCCAGGCCGGCGAUGCCGUCCAACACGCGCGUGGUUCACAAAACCAUCGUGGAGAGAGGCUGCGGCUACGACUACGCCGUCGUGAGAAGCACGGUCCAUGUGCGGGUGCAUUGCGCCGGCGACCUCACGGCGGCGGACUGCGGCCGGUGCGUGCAGCACUCGGUGGAGGCCAUGGGCUGGGACCUCGACGUGGCCUGCGGCGAUGGUGGCGCGGCGGCCGCGGUGGUGGGCUUCAACUGCCACGUUCAGUUCGAGGUCUCCACCGCACUGGUGCCGCGUAGCGACCAGAGUGACGACCCCAGCGACCACAGCAGCCUUCUCCGUGUAGGCCUUCUAGCUUUCAUCAUAGCCAACUUGAUUUUGACUGCUGCACUCCUUCUCCUUCCUUCUCGCCGUCGCCGGUGA